GUUUAAAGUCAUCUUGUUAGCUAACUGCACAACUUCUUCAGUUAAAAAAAUACUUUUCUUGCUAAAAUUCUACACUUGAAUAAAUAUAAACAAUUAAUAAUUGUACAAUUCUUAAAUGAUGUAAUAUUAAUUUCAAAACUAAAAUUAAAUAAGUUGAUUUUACAUGUGAAAAUCAGUAACAUGGAUUUUAAAAUUGAUACUAAUUUUGCAACAAAAUAAUUUGGAGUAAAUGUUUGGUAUGCUUUAUUUAUGAGGCCAAAUGAAGCAGGAUGAAAUACUGUAUUGAAAUAGGCUCACACUGUUAAAUAUAGUAGAUCAUAACUGCUAAGUCAUACUGACUUUAAAUAUCAAGUAUC
rnacentral:lncRNA from 1 species